rnacentral:rRNA from 1 species
AACGCGAAGAACCUUACCAAGGCUUGACAUAUGCCGGAAACACCUGGAGACAGGUGCCCCCUUGUGGUCGGUAUACAGGUGGUGCAUGGUUGUCGUCAGCUCGUGUCGUGAGAUGUUGGGUUAAGUCCCGCAACGAGCGCAACCCUUGUUCUGUGUUGCCAGCAUGCCUUUCGGGGUGAUGGGGACUCACAGGAGACUGCCGGGGUCAACUCGGAGGAAGGUGGGGACGACGUCAAAUCAUCAUGCCCCUUAUGUCUUGGGCUGCACACGUGCUACAAUGGUCGGUACAAAGGGCUGCGAUGCCGCGAGGCGGAGCGAAUCCCAAAAAGCCGGCCUCAGUUCGGAUUGGGGUCUGCAACUCGACCCCAUGAAGUUGGAGUUGCUAGUAAUCGCAGAUCAGCAUGCUGCGGUGAAUACGUUCCCGGGCCUUGUACACACCG